AUUGAACGCUGGCGGCAUGCUUUACACAUGCAAGUCGAACGGUAACAGGCCGCAAGGUGCUGACGAGUGGCGAACGGGUGAGUAAUGCAUCGGAACGUGCCCAGUCGUGGGGGAUAACGCAGCGAAAGCUGCGCUAAUACCGCAUACGAUCUAUGGAUGAAAGCGGGGGACCGUAAGGCCUCGCGCGAUUGGAGCGGCCGACGUCAGAUUAGGUAGUUGGUGGGGUAAAGGCCCACCAAGCCAACGAUCUGUAGCUGGUCUGAGAGGACGACCAGCCACACUGGGACUGAGGCACGGCCCAGACUCCUACGGGAGGCAGCAGUGGGGAAUUUUGGACAAUGGGCGCAGGCCUGAUCCAGCAAUGCCGCGUGCAGGAAGAAGGCCUUCGGGUUGUAAACUGCUUUUGUACGGAACGAAACGGUUCUCUCUAAUACAGGGGGCUAAUGACGGUACCGUAAGAAUAAGCACCGGCUAACUACGUGCCAGCCGCCGCCGUAACAC
rnacentral:rRNA from 1 species